rnacentral:rRNA from 1 species
UACGAAGGGGGCUAGCGUUGUUCGGAAUCACUGGGCGUAAAGCGCACGUAGGCGGCUUUUUAAGUCAGGGGUGAAAUCCUGGAGCUCAACUCCAGAACUGCCUUUGAUACUGAGAAGCUUGAGUCCGGGAGAGGUGAGUGGAACUGCGAGUGUAGAGGUGAAAUUCGUAGAUAUUCGCAAGAACACCAGUGGCGAAGGCGGCUCACUGGCCCGGUACUGACGCUGAGGUGCGAAAGCGUGGGGAGCAAACAGG